AGAAUCAACGCUGGCGGCGUGCCUAACACAUGCAAGUCGAACGCGAAAAGGGCUUCGGCUCUUAGUAGAGUGGCGAACGGGUGAGUAACACGUGGGUGACCUACCUUCGAAUGGGGGAUAACGUCCCGAAAGGGACGCUAAUACCGCAUAACAUCCUGCUUUUGAACAGGUGGAGAUCAAAGCCGGGGAUCGCAAGACCUGGCGUUUGAAGAGGGGCCCGCGUCUGAUUAGCUAGUUGGUGAGGUAACGGCCCACCAAGGCUACGAUCAGUA
rnacentral:rRNA from 1 species